AUGAACGCUGGCGGCGUGCCUAAUACAUGCCAGUCGAGCGAACAGACGAGGAGCUUGCUCCUCUGACGUUAGCGGCGGACGGGUGAGUAACACGUGGAUAACCUACCUAUAAGACUGGGAUAACUUCGGGAAACCGGAGCUAAUACCGGAUAAUAUAUUGAACCGCAUGGUUCAAUAGUGAAAGACGGUUUUGCUGUCACUUAUAGAUGGAUCCGCGCCGCAUUAGCUAGUUGGUAAGGUAACGGCUUACCAAGGCAACGAUGCGUAGCCGACCUGAGAGGGUGAUCGGCCACACUGGAACUGAGACACGGUCCAGACUCCUACGGGAGGCAGCAGUAGGGAAUCUUCCGCAAUGGGCGAAAGCCUGACGGAGCAACGCCGCGUGAGUGAUGAAGGUCUUCGGAUCGUAAAACUCUGUUAUUAGGGAAGAACAAAUGUGUAAGUAUCUAUGCACGUCUUGACGGUACCUAAUCAGAAAGCCACGGCUAACUACGUG
rnacentral:rRNA from 1 species